AUGUGUGUGGGCCCCUCUGGUGCCGCAGCAACUAGCCCUGGUCCUUUUGGGUUUGGGGGUGUCCCCUCAGGCCAGGCCCCAGGGAGGCCAUGCGCCCCUCAUCCUAACUGUGCCUCUGUUCCAGGCUGCUUCACACAGGAGCCAGAGCCCAGGGGGCCGUUCCUUCGGGGUAGGUUUCUACAAGGAAUCCGGUUUCCCAAGAGCGCUGCAGAACAUGAGCUCGCACGCUCACAUCUUUGUGGAGCCGGCAAAAAAGGCAGUUCCCUGUACUUCUCCUGAGGCCCUGCUAGUCUCUGAACUCAGCAGUGCCUUGUGUAUGCUUCAUCAUGGCCCUCACCACAUUAUACUGCAUUUGUCUGCUCACUUGGAUAUCUCCUCCACCCCGUUUUUCCCUUAGUGAAGAGUCGAUCUGGUAUGGUCAAGAAGAAUUCUGAAGUCAAUCUGCCAAGUUUGAAUCCCGGCUCCUAGUAUUCCCUAGCUAUGUGACUUUAGGCAAGUUACCUCAUCUCUGUACCUCCAUUUUCUUAUCUAUAAGGACGAUGAAAUGUCUGACCUCAUAGGACCAUUAUGAGAAUUAAAUGAAUUACUUGGAACCAUUCCUGGUGCAGAGUAAGAUAUAAAUAAGGGGAGGCUAUUAUUUUUAACCCUGCCCUAUUAUUAUUUGGGACCUCAAACAGUACUUAGCAAAAAGUCAGCAACAUAAACAGUUUUAAGACAAAAAGACACAAUGCUCAGCCUUGAGACUAGUUUCAUUGCUCAUCAUUGGGGAACAGAUAUUUGCAAGCACUGAGACUUCACUGCUCCCACUGCCUCACCAGUGCAGCCUCCUCAGGGAGCCCCACAGGAGCCAGUUCCAGGAUCCUGGGUGGCUUGGUGCAGAAGGAAGAGUGUGCACUAUAGAGCCAGAAGUCCUGAGUUUGCCACCAUGAAACCUGUUAUACUCUAGACAAAAUACUUAAUUUCGGUUUCCUCAUCUAUGAAAUGAAAAAUCAUACCUACUUUGCAAUGAAAUGUAUAAAAGAGAACUCCAGGUAUGUUUUGGAGAUAAGGAAUUUACAUGAAAUAAAUCCUUUCUGAUAAUUUUCUGAUUCCUUGAAAGUGAGAUCCUGGCAAGUACAAUCUUGUACACGAAGUGUCAUGUGGAAGAGCGAUGGUUAUUUAAAGCCUGUUCUGGUGUCUGUCUUUGACCUGUACUGGGCCUUCCCCAUCCAAUAAGCGAGCCACAUAUAUGACCAUGAUUCCUACACAUACCUUUACUCCCUAUCCCAGACUGGCCAAAGGGCUGGUCCCCUGCCAUACCCCUGCUACCUAAUAAAUAUUUACUCAGUUAUUGAAUAAAUAAGUGAUCUCUUAUUAGCUUAGUGACCAGAUCGUUUCGUCUCAGCAAAAGGCCACAGCUCUACUCACCCACAAUUCCUAGGAAUUGCUUAUUCUUCACUGCUUACCAAAUAGGUCACUCACUAGGAGGGAGUAUUUUACAUGUGUGAGCCACACAGCUCAAGUGAAGACUCCACUCUGUUCUUCUAGAGCAUUAAUUAUGUGGCCACAAGAGAUAAAGUUUGCCUCCUUCUCUUUCAAUUAAAAAAAUAAUAAUAAACUAUAAAUAAACAAAAACCGGUGGCUCCAGAAAUAACUUCAUAAUAAAGAAGAUUCUCUCUCUCCCUCUCAAUCCCUUCAUCAAAAGAAAAAAAAUCCUUAUUAACAAAACAAAAACAACCAUUACUGAGCAUUUUCAGAGCACAACUUCUAGAACUCCUGUUAAGAAUUCCAGAAGACAGGUGCCACUCUAGUCUGAGCAGGCUCUGCUCUCCCUGUGUCUCCACGAUGGUUCUACUGAGCCUCAACACGACCAAGAGGCAGAGAACAUAAAGUUAUCCUUCCCUCUAGAUGGCUUCAUUUACAUAGCCAAUCAUGAGUUCUGGGCAUCAUGACUACACUCCUGGACUUUAAUCUCCUUUCACAGUUAUUCUGUGGAGCACGGUUUUUUCUUUGUUAAAAAAUUAUUUUGUCAUGGCAGGCCAAACCUAGUAUAAAAUCAAAUGCUUAAAACAUGGUUGUUUUGACCUUUGAGUGAGGCAGUUCAGUGUGGAGUUAGGAGUACUGGAUUCUAGUUCACUAGUUAGUUGUGAGACUUCAGGUAGAUCAUUUAGUUCUCUGGGCCUUAGUGGUUUUAUCUAUAAAAUGAGGUGAAUUGGUCUCCAAAUUUCCUUUCAGGAUGGAAAUGUAUUUAAAGCCAUGCAUCUUUAGCACAUCGACUUUGUCAUAUAUUACUGCUUUUGAGUUACUAACAUAAUACAUCCUAACAGUUCCAUUGUGGAAACUAAAUUAAAAGACAUUAUUUUAGCUUGAAAAUCUUCUACAUUACUUUUCCAAAUUAUUAUAUAGAGUAAACCAAAAGUCCCUGUUCAUCUAUAUUUAAAAUGGCCACAAAUCUGUAUGUACCUUAACAAAUAAGACAAGAAUUGUAAAUGACAUCUACAAGCAACUGGGGUAUAUUUUCAACAUUUAUUGUGGCAUAAUGAAUAAGAACUGUGCUAAUACCUGUGUACGGAGAGUCACUGAUAACAUAUUUGCAUGAUACAUGCACAGUGACACCGAGCAGAUUCAACACAUAACAGUAAAACAUUUGUUAUUCAGAAUGUCCCAGAAAUUAAUACAAGAAAUCAAUCAAUCAUGAAUGUAAAAGUACUUUGUCUUUGCAAUUAUGAUUUUUUGCACAGUUGAAAUAAAGCAAAAUAAAAGAUGUUAAGAAAUAGAGUCCCUCACAUUUCCUCUUGGCUCCACUGCCUUACAAACAUUUACUGACCUUCCCUCCAUUCUCAAUGGAAUUAAGAGUCAUUCUUUCAAAAGUCAGUUUCUCUCACUUAUACUGAUAAUGGUUUUGCUCUUUGAUGGAUAUGUGCCUAACUCCAGAGUCACCACACUUUGUUUCAUUCAUUUAUCCUUCAUUGCUCUCUUUCUCCUGGUCCCUCUCUCUUUCCUACUAACACAUACAGUUAUCCUGUAAAAUUAGAAUAAUUUGCUUGGCCUUAAUGCAAUGUAUUAAAACUCUAUUUAGAAGAAGGAAAGCUUCCAAAUCUAUUCUAUGAGGCCAGCAUUACCCUCAUACCCAAACCAGAUGAAACACUACCAAAAAACUCCC
rnacentral:lncRNA from 1 species